rnacentral:rRNA from 1 species
CCUACGGUAGGCAGCAGUGGGGAAUAUUGCACAAUGGGGGAAACUCUGAUGCAGCGACGCCGCGUGAGUGAGGAAGUAUUUCGGUAUGUAAAGCUCUAUCAGCAGGGAAGAAAAUGCCGGUACCUGACUAUGAAGUCCCGGCUAACUACGUGCCAGCAGCCGCGGUAAUACGUAGGGGGCAAGCGUUAUCCGGAUUUACUGGGUGUAAAGCGAGCGUAGACGGCUAAUCAAGUCAGAAGUGAAAUCCCAGGGCUCAACUUUGGGACUGCUUUCGAAACUGAGUAGCUAGAGUGCAGGAGAGGUAGGCGGAAUUCCUAGUGUAGCGGUGAAAUGCGUAGAUAUUAGGAGGAACACCGGUGGCGAAGGCAGCUUACUAGGCUAUAACUGACGUUGAGGCUCGAAAGCGUGGGGAGCAAACAGGAUUAGAUACCCUAGUAGUC